rnacentral:tRNA from 1 species
GAAAUAUGAAAUCCCAAGAAAAAGCUGCUAACUUUUAUCUUUAAUGGUGCAAUUCCAUUUAUAUUUCU